UGUCAGGGCAGGGCAGAGUAUUGCGGUUUUUUCUGUGCUUUUAGGUCAUUUGGCUGGUCUACAAAUUAAAUUGAUGUAAGACAGAGGAACAUGAGAAAAACGAUUUGUCGACCGAAAGGUGAAAUAACAGGAUUUUAAACAUUUUGUAGACGAUAACAUUCGUCUUGAAGCUGUGGACAAUCUAAAACAGAAAUGGAGUUCCAAAUUUUGUUUUUGUAAUAUGGCCCGUCAACUGCACAUGGGAAGAAUGUGGGUACUCUGAAAUAUGAUUUCUAUUUUAACUAGUUAUACUAUAUCAUAGGUCUGAUUAUCAUCUAUAUGAGAUGUUAAAGCUGUAGGAGUAUAGUCAAUUAGACUACAAACCCUGGUAGUAAAUUUCCAGGAGGAAAGGGGUCCAUAUGUUUUUUAUAAGUGUAAACCUUGUGUUUCUGAAUCUAAGAGGGUUGGCCAUGUUUGGAGACUAUUUCAGCUUCUAUGUGAAUUAACAUAUUAAUUAUUCUUGUUGAAAGACAUGGAAGAUCUUGAUAUGCUGGAAUUUUGCCGCUUCUUGGUUGACAGAAUCCAAGGGUAUAUUGUCACAGGUUUUAAAUACUAGUGGCAAGAUCACAACAGAAAGGAAGAGUUUCAAGACGUGAGUGACAUGGGAUAAAGGAGGAAGCUCCCCAAGGAACAGAUGAUGGUGACAGCAGUACCAGUAGCAGCAGGAGCAGGGAAGACUCCAGCCUGAUGUCUAUGGGACCUGAGUCCACACUGUGGAGGGCACAAGCUGUGGGAGGGCCUGGAAGACACGCCUCAGAGAUUCUCCCAGUCCUGCCACCCUGUGGGAGACACUUCAAAGGAAUCGUAAACUCAUGUGACCAGCAGGGAGGACAACGAUGAAGAAACUUUCCUGCCUAAAAUCAGCUGCUG
rnacentral:lncRNA from 1 species